rnacentral:rRNA from 1 species
AUUGAACGCUGGCGGCAUGCCUUACACAUGCAAGUCGAACGGCAGCAUGAUCUAGCUUGCUAGAUUGAUGGCGAGUGGCGAACGGGUGAGUAAUACAUCGGAACGUGCCCUGUAGUGGGGGAUAACUAGACGAAAGAUUAGCUAAUACCGCAUACGACCUGAGGGUGAACGUGGGGGACCGCAAGGCCUCAUGCUAUAGGAGCGGCCGAUGUCUGAUUAGCUAGUUGGUGAGGUAAAGGCUCACCAAGGCGACGAUCAGUAGCUGGUCUGAGAGGACGAUCAGCCACACUGGGACUGAGACACGGCCCAGACUACUACGGGAGGCAGCAGUGGGGAAUUUUGGACAAUGGGGGCAACCCUGAUCCAGCAAUGCCGCGUGUGUGAAGAAGGCCUUCGGGUUGUAAAGCACUUUUGUCCGGAAAGAAAUCGCACUUACUAAUAUUAGGUGUGGAUGACGGUACCGGAAGAAUAAGGACCGGCUAACUACGUGCCAGCAGCCGCGGUAAAAC